rnacentral:rRNA from 1 species
AGUGGACGCUGGCGGUAGGCCUAACACAUGCAAGUCGAACGGCAGCACAGUAAGAGCUUGCUCUUACGGGUGGCGAGUGGCGGACGGGUGAGGAAUACAUCGGAAUCUACUUUUUCGUGGGGGAUAACGUAGGGAAACUUACGCUAAUACCGCAUACGACCUACGGGUGAAAGCAGGGGAUCUUCGGACCUUGCGCGAUUGAAUGAGCCGAUGUCGGAUUAGCUAGUUGGCGGGGUAAAGGCCCACCAAGGCGACGAUCCGUAGCUGGUCUGAGAGGAUGAUCAGCCACACUGGAACUGAGACACGGUCCAGACUCCUACGGGAGGCAGCAGUGGGGAAGAUUGGACAAUGGGCGCAAGCCUGAUCCAGCCAUACCGCGUGGGUGAAGAAGGCCUUCGGGUUGUAAAGCCCUUUUGUUGGGAAAGAAAAGCAGCAGGUUAAUACCCCGCUGUUCUGACGGUACCCAAAGAAUAAGCACCGGCUAACUUCGUG